rnacentral:lncRNA from 1 species
AUUAGUAGCUCACGUGGCUCAUCUCACUUCUUGCGUACAUACAAAAGGAAACUCUGAAUAGCUCUAAUUCUUCUCUAGUAGGCAUGCUUUGAAGUGCUGACUGGAUUGAGUCCCUGCAGAGAGACGGAUGGAUAAAUUGUGGAUUAUCAUCAGCCUUCACCACCAACAACACAGAGUUGCUCAGUGCUGUGAAAACUGAGAUGUUGCUCUACAUACCCAGUAGCAGAAGAGAAAAUGUUUUUUAAGAUAAGGUACCAAAGAAUGUAUAAAGGUUUAGUAGCAAUUCAACAGGACUCCCAGGAUUUUGGUGCUAAUUAGAAGUCCCUGAACUCUGCCUAAGGUGAGCGUUUAAUGGCUAAAUCCCAUUUUGCAGCUUUAACAAAAUGAGGAUAACGAUGUGCUCAUAUGUUAAAGGACUUAGAUGGAUGAUCUAAGGAGCAAAUCAUUACAUUUUCUGCAUUAUUAGAACUACUACUAAUUACAAGUUAAAGGCCAGCUGGUAAAAGCUGAUGGGUGUUUUUCAAACAUAGAUUUUCUGAUUAAAUGUUUAAUUCCUGUAAUAUUGUAGUUCAUACACUGGCCUUGUUCACUGAUGCACUUGGGAAUACUGACUGAUGACUCAAGAACUGUGGAUUCAAUACUCCAUUCAUUCAAUAUUUACAAACUCUAGGAAUUUUGGAAUUUAGUCAAAGGGCAGACAGCUGUGGAUGACGAUUAUGGAACAGAUGAGCCAAGCCCUGCCAUUUUUGUCAUUCUGCUGGACAUUCACACCAGGCUGUUUUUUGUUGGCUCAACAUAGUGGUCUUCAUCUCUCCUCAGUCAGUGUAUCUAUGCAGACACACAAUAUCUAUCCACCUGCCUUUGACCACACUGUUACAUGUUUUGGCUUCUCAGUGGUUAACCCUACACCAGAAGAUCAUUAACUGCAGGUGUGAGAACCGGAGGCUGAAAACACAGCCUUGAAAGCGCAAACUGCACCUCAAUGCUGCUGGAGUAAUGCCUGCAGGGGCAACGUUUAGCACAUGGGCUGUGGGAAAAGUUGCCAUAUGCAAGAACUUGGAGGAAACUUACCUCUUGCCUUGAUCCCACCAGCCUGCAGAGUCUGACCCUGGGGUCUAGGGCUGUGCUCAUGAUUUUGAAGUCUUCCAGCACAAGAAAGCAACUUUUACUUAAGCACCUCUGGAUCAAGGCUAGGCAACCAGAUGAAAGCAGUUCAGUUACUGAACCUGUUUUCACUUUCAAAACUGAUACAGCUGUGAAACACCUCAAAAUGAAAUAAAGCUCUUCUGUUCUCACA